rnacentral:sRNA from 1 species
CAGAAGCGCCCUCCAUGGGCGUUUCCUCCUUAGACUUCGGCCGCUCGCAAGGGCGGCCUUUUGUUUCCGAGGA